GGGCUCUGACCUGAGACCUCUGGGUUCUGAGCUGUGAUGUCGCUUCUGAGCUGGGAUCUCCGGGGUCUUGGUUCAGGGUCG
rnacentral:pre_miRNA from 1 species